rnacentral:rRNA from 1 species
CCUACGGGAGGCAGCAGUAGGGAAUCUUCCACAAUGGACGAAAGUCUGAUGGAGCAACGCCGCGUGAGUGAAGAAGGGUUUCGGCUCGUAAAACUCUGUUGUUAAAGAAGAACAUAUCUGAGAGUAACUGUUCAGGUAUUGACGGUAUUUAACCAGAAAGCCACGGCUAACUACGUGCCAGCAGCCGCGGUAA